GGCCUACCAUGGUGGUAACGGGUAACGGGGUGUUAGGGCACGACACCGGAGAGGGAGCCUGAGAAACGGCUACCACAUCCAAGGAUGGCAGCAGGCGCGCAAAUUACCCAAUCCCGACACGGGGAGGUAGUGACAAUAAAUAACAAUACGGGGUUCUUUAGGAUCUCGUAAUUGGAAUGAGUACAAUUUAAAUCUCUUAACGAGGAACAAUUGGAGGGCAAGUCUGGUGCCAGCAGCCGCGGUAAUUCCAGCUCCAAUAGCGUAUAUUAAAGUUGUUGCAGUUAAAAAGCUCGUAGUUGAAUUUCGGGGUUAGCAGGUCGGUCGUGCCAUCGGUAUGAACUGGCCUCGCUGAUCCCUCCCUCUUGACGAACUGUGAUGCCAUUAAUUUGGUGUCGCAGGGAAUCAGGACUGUUACUUUGAAAAAAUUAGAGUGUUUAAAGCAGGCUCACGCUUGAAUACAUUAGCAUGGAAUAAUGAAAUAGGACGUUUGAUCCUAUUUUGUUGGUUUCUAGGAUUGACGUAAUGAUUAAUAGGGAUAGUUGGGGGCAUUAGUAUUCAAUUGUCAGAGGUGAAAUUCUUGGAUUUAUUGAAGACUAACUACUGCGAAAGCAUUUGCCAAGGAUGUUUUCAUUAAUCAAGAACGAAAGUUAGGGGAUCGAAGACGAUCAGAUACCGUCGUAGUCUUAACCAUAAACUAUGCCGACUAGGGAUCGGGAUGAUGUUAAUUUUUUAAUGACUCAUUCGGCGCCUUACG
rnacentral:rRNA from 1 species